rnacentral:rRNA from 1 species
CCCUUAGAUGUUCUGGGCCGCACGCGCGCUACACUGAUGCAUUCAACGAGUCUAAAACCUGCUCUGAUAGGGGUGGGUAAUCUUUUGAAUGUGCAUCGUGAUUGGGAUAGAUGAUUGCAAUUUUUCAUCUUCAGCGAGGAAUGCCUAGUAAACGCAAGUCAUCAGCUUGCAUUGAUUACGUCCCUGCCCUUUGUACACACCGCCCGUCGCUCCUACCGAUUGAAUGAUCCGAUGAAUAUCAUGGAUUGAGGAUGCAAGCAGGUUCGCCUGUCUUCAUCUUCGAGAAGUGAAGUAAAUCUUAUCAUUUAGAGGGAGGAGAAGUCGUAACA